rnacentral:misc_RNA from 1 species
ACGCAUAUUGCGCUCGAGGCCUCGGCUGAGAGCAUGUCUGUCUCAGCGUCGGUGAAACCCUCACUCUCAAUAAUUUUUUUUUGGUGAGCGCGCAUCUGGCUCCUCCCGUCCCCAGUUAAUUUUUUUAUCUGGACCUGCGGGUGUGCUGAUGCUUGAAUUUCAGUUCUGAGAUAUGUGCAGGUGAUGCCCAUCCUAUACUCUCAACUAGGACCGUUCAUUCGUGAAUUUUUAAAUGCAGGAAUUUAAAAAUUGGAGUAGAAUUUAUUCAGGGUGGAUCCGGAAUAUUUUUCAUGCCGCCAUUUUUUUCUAUUCGACCGGAGCUCAGGCAGGAUUACCCGCUGAACUUAA